rnacentral:lncRNA from 1 species
CUAUAAGUUAUUGUACAAGUAAUAAGUGAAUUAUGAUUUGUACAAACUGCUACAUGUUCACAGACAAUGGAAUUUAUUACAAAGGAUAAUAAUAAUAUAUACUGGAAUGGUCCUGGGUCCAAUUGAUUUUAUAUGUUUAUGUGAUGUAUGUUACUGAAAUUCUUCUGCAAAUACAGGUCCACCCGAUAUUACCAGUAGAAAGACCCCAAUAUAUAUACAUUGUUAAAAGAUGCGGUAAGCGUGCCAAUGAGACUAUUAUCCAUUCAAAUCACAAUUUUCAAUUAUCUUCAAUUUCGACGGAAGAUUGGCUGUCAAAAUGCUA